UAGGCCAUAAGCAUAGAAAUUUUGUAGAGUUUUGUUAAGUAGUAUUUUUUAGAUAUGUAUCAAUUCUAUGUUUGCGAAGAUGCUGCAUAGUUAGGAGUGGAGUAAUGUAGAAUGGGUAGAAAUUUUUUUUGUACAAUAUAGAUAAAUUAGAUUAAUCAAUCAUAGACUUGUCAAUUCACUAGGUCAAAUGAUUGAAUUAAUUAUAAAAAAUGAUUAAGUAAGAAAUAAUGGUUAAAAUCUAGAAUUUCAAAAGUAAAGCAUAAAUAAGUUGAAGAAGAUAUGGGAGGGGCCAGACUAUGAUAAUCAUGAGCCGGGAUAAGCUCGGUGCUACUUCUGUUUUUUCUUUGUAAUUGAAGAAUAAUUG
rnacentral:lncRNA from 1 species